UUCAAACACAGGAAUCUAUGGGGCCAUAU
rnacentral:piRNA from 1 species